rnacentral:rRNA from 1 species
GUCUAUGGCCAUGGCACCCUGAACAUGCCCGAACAGGUCAGAUCUUGGAAGUAAGCAGGAUCGGGCCUGGUUAGUACUUGGAUGGGAGACCACCUAGGAAGACCAGGUGCUGUAGGCU